ACUCUCUCAUUCUGCAUAGUUGCACUAGGUCUCAUCCGUGUGACUUUCGUACAGGGAGAGAGAGAAAAGAGCUCCUUAGGACCAUGGAUUGGCCUCACAGUGGCCACUCUUGCCUAGAAGGGCACAACAGGC
rnacentral:snoRNA from 1 species